rnacentral:tRNA from 1 species
GCGCCCGUAGCUCAGUUGGAUAGAGCGCCGGACUUCGAAUCCGUAGGUCGGGGGUUCGAGCCCCUCCGGGCGCGCCA